rfam:Ailuropoda melanoleuca scaffold131_72, whole genome shotgun sequence.
GCCUGGCUGGCUCAGUCGGUAGAGCAUGCGACUUUUGAUCUUGGGGUUCUGAGUUCAAGCCCCAUGUUGGGUG